GGUUACAUAAACCUUGGCCAUUUUCCACCUAGGACAACCUGACUUUGCUGGGAACUCUGCUACAUGCAGCUAUACGGUGACGGUCUGUUGCAUGGGACUGUUGCAAUGUGUGCUCCUUAGCAGUACUUUCUGUAACCCCACUGUUAGGCCUAGUGAUUUGGUCAGUGAUUUCCAUCAAGGUGAUGUCCAAACAGAACAGGAGCAGAUCUUUCCCUCGUGCCAUUAUCUCUGUGGAGGCUCCAAUCCUGGUUUUGGCUCACAAUCACUGAUGGAAAUCACUGACCAAAACACUGUGUGAAUAAGGCCUUACGCUACGUUUUUCUGCAUGAGGAUUGGCACAGAAAAACUGUGUAAUCAGCAACAAUUGCAGGCAGCAAACCAAUGGUGUUCAUAAGAGCCAUACAGCACAUAUCUGAAAGAAAUACAAUGCAGAAUCGGUGCAGCAGCGACUAAUCCAGUACAGCUGGAAGGUAUGAUGAAAGUUAGUUUCGUCCUUGUCCGUAUAACAGGAAGAGCAUCAUAGCUUCGUGGUCACCACUGUUGUCUCGCAGCACUGCCUAGAAGAGUUUCUAUUCCUAUAGGCCCAGAGAUGUUUCUUGCCCUUUUGAUGCUUGUGGCUAAAGGUGAAAUGGUGUCUCCAGACUAGAGAUAGGAAAAUACAAGAAUGGGUGGAACAUCUGUCAAAAUGCUGCCCCUCUACAGUGAGGGAAGGGUGCAGUGAGGUUCUCGGCUUGACUUAUGGAGGAAGCAGUACUGUUUGGCCAGCAUGGUGGCUCAGUGGUUAGCACUGUUCCCUUACAGCAGGGUUCCUCAACUCCAGUCCUCAGGGCCCAGCUGCCAGGUUUCCAGGAUUUCCUUAGUAUUGAGCAGGUGAUAUAAUUAGCACCAGGACUUACCACAGGUAUUCAUUCUAUGGGAUCUUCUCAAAUCAUGACCAGCAAGUGGGUCAUAAGGGCUUGGGUUUGCGGAACUCUGCCUUACAGCACUGGGAUCCUGGGUUAAAUUUUAAGCAAGAGGAACAUCUGCAUGCAGUUUGGAUGUUCUCCCAAUGUUGACCUGAUAUCUACCAAACUCCAAAAACCAACUGAGAGACUAAUUGGCUUUCUAUUCAAAUUUGAGAUCCCCUGAGGACAGAGGCCAUACACAUCAGAUGUAAGCUGGCCGAACUUGAUGAUUUUGGCAGGAUCGGUUGACUGUGACCCAACCCUCCCUCCACAGCAGAUGUCGGUGGAAAGAAAGAUUGGCCAUGUUGUGCUCAAUCCUUUUAUUCCUUUCUACCUGUUAAAACUCAUGUGCGUUUGGCCAAACUAUGUGUCCAUGAAGGCCAGGAGGAACAACUGUCGGCUCAUUUAGCCACAAUAUUAUUUGUGCACGGGCAACUUUAGUCCGUGAUGUAGAAUACGGUAAUUU